AUUGAACGCUGGCGGCAUGCUUUACACAUGCAAGUCGAACGGCAGCGGGGGCUUCGGCCUGCCGGCGAGUGGCGAACGGGUGAGUAAUGCAUCGGAACGUGCCCAUGUCGUGGGGGAUAACGUAUCGAAAGGUACGCUAAUACCGCAUACGCCCUGAGGGGGAAAGCGGGGGAUUCUUCGGAACCUCGCGCGAUUGGAGCGGCCGAUGUCGGAUUAGCUAGUAGGUGAGGUAAAGGCUCACCUAGGCGACGAUCCGUAGCGGGUCUGAGAGGAUGAUCCGCCACACUGGGACUGAGACACGGCCCAGACUCCUACGGGAGGCAGCAGUGGGGAAUUUUGGACAAUGGGCGCAAGCCUGAUCCAGCCAUGCCGCGUGAGUGAAGAAGGCCUUCGGGUUGUAAAGCUCUUUCGGCCGGGAAGAAAUCGCGCGCUCUAACAUAGCGCGUGGAUGACGGUACCGGACUAAGAAGCACCGGCUAACUACGUGCCAGCCGCCGCAGUAA
rnacentral:rRNA from 1 species